UCAGCCGCCGCGGUAAUACGUAGGGGGCGAGCGUUGUCCGAAUUUACUGGGCGUAAAGCGCGCGUAGGCGGGCUCUUAAGUUGGUGGUGAAAUCCCGAGGCUCAACCUCGGAACUGCCUCCAAAACUGUGAGCCUUGAGGUAUGGAGAGGGAAGUGGAAUUCCAGGUGUAGCGGUGAAAUGCGUAGAUAUCUGGAGGAACACCCGUGGCGAAGGCGGCUUCCUGGUCAUAUCCUGACGCUGAGGUGCGAAAGCUAGGGGAGCGAACGGGAUUAGAUACCCCGGUAGUCCUAGCCGUAAACGAUGGAUACUAGGUGUCAGUGGUAUCGACCCCACUGGUGCCGAAGCUAACGCAUUAAGUAUCCCGCCUGGGGAGUACGGCCGCAAGGCUGAAACUCAAAGGAAUUGACGGGGGCCCGCACA
rnacentral:rRNA from 1 species